AUUGAACGCUGGCGGCAGGCCUAACACAUGCAAGUCGAGCGAGUGGCGGACGGGUGAGUAAUGUAUGGGGAACUGCCUGAUGGAGGGGGAUAACUACUGGAAACGGUGGCUAAUACCGCAUACUAUCAGAUGUGCCCAGAUGGGAUUAGCUAGUUGGUGGGGUAACGGCUCACCAAGGCGACGAUCCCUAGCUGGUCUGAGAGGAUGACCAGCCACACUGGAACUGAGACACGGUCCAGACUCCUACGGGAGGCAGCAGUGGGGAAUAUUGCACAAUGGGCGCAAGCCUGCUGCAGCCAUGCCGCGUGUAUGAAGAAGGCCUUCGGGUUGUAAAGUACUUUCAGCGGGGAGGCGUUACCCGCAGAAGAAGCACCGGCUAACUCCGUGCCAGCAGCCGCGGUAAUAC
rnacentral:rRNA from 1 species